rnacentral:rRNA from 1 species
UACGGAGGUCUCAAGCGUUGUUCGGAAUUAUUGGGCGUAAAGGGCGCGUAGGCGGCCCUGCAUGUCGGAUGUGAAAUCCCACCUCUCAAAGGUGGAACUGCAUCCGAAACUGCUGGGCUAGAGUGCCGGAGAGGAUGGUGGAAUUCCUGGUGUAGAGGUGAAAUUCGUAGAUAUCAGGAGGAACACCGGUGGCGAAGGCGGCCAUGCU